UCGAAUUAAUUUGGAUCAUCCUAUUUUUAUUAAUAUCCUCCGUUUAAUCAGCCAUUUGAAAAGAAAAAACAGAUCGAUCGCAGAUCCAUCCAACCAGAUCGAGCGAUCCAGCCAAUAAAAGUAAGGAUAUCGAUCCAACAGAUCGAUCUAGCCCUAGCUGCUGUCGUGGCCGCCCAUGCCACUGGCCGCCUCCGUGGCCGUGCCGUUACCGUACCGUCGUAUCUCUACUUUUGUCUUGUCUCGCUGCCGUAGAAGAGGAGAAAGAGGAGAAGGAAUUUGGGAUUGUUGGGGAAUUCCUUAAAUUCUCGCGAGCUGUAGAGAGUUCAAACUUGAGAAGCGUUGAGCCAAGUUAUCGCCAUAGAUGAGGCAAGUGCACGAGGAACUUAUAUGAUUGAUAUGGGAUGACUGAAAUGGUACCAAAUAUCACCGGCAUGCAUGGGCAGCAUGCAUACUCGACACUUAUACACACCUCUAGCUCUAAUCUAGUUUCAGUAUAUUUUAACAAAUAACCUUGUGAUUAGAUGAUCUCGUAUAAUAUGACACCGUGAGGUUUGGGAUCUAGUGAGGUUUUGUAUGUUUUGUGUAGCAUUCCAGGUUUGUGAAAACCCAGGGUGUUACAAAGAGAGACGAAGAAGGCGGCCACAAUGGGUCAGAGAACUAUGAUAGUGGUAGAGCUAUCGAAAGAGUUAGAGAUGGAGGCACCAGCGGCCAUGAUGGAAAGAGCACCAAAUAGAGGUUCUGGUGAAAGAUGGAAAGGCACAUCCUUGGAGGAGAGAGGCUAAGGGGAGAAGGACUGAUGGACAUAGAUACUAGUUUUGGUGUCGCUUAGCUAUUUUAAAAAUAGUAUUGUCAAUUUACAAAUAAAAGUUUCAAUAUUGUUAUCAUUGUUAGCUUUUAAUUAAGUUGAUCUAGCAGUAUUUUUAGUGAUAAUAUUAAAUGAACG